rnacentral:rRNA from 1 species
AACGAACGCUGGCGGCGUGCCUAAUACAUGCAAGUCGAGCGGACAGAAGGGAGCUUGCUCCCGGAAGUUAGCGGCGGACGGGUGAGUAACACGUGGGCAACCUACCCUGUAGAUCGGGAUAACAUCGAGAAAUCGGUGCUAAUACCGGAUAAUCAUUUGAAGUGCAUGCUUCGAAUGUAAAAGAUGGCUCAGGCUAUCACUACGGGAUGGGCCCGCGGCGCAUUAGCUAGUUGGUAAGGUAAUGGCUUACCAAGGCAACGAUGCGUAGCCGACCUGUGAGGGGGAUCGGACACACUGGGACAGAGAACCGGCCCAGACUCCGACGCGAGGCAGCAGUAGGGAAUCUUGCGAAAUGGACGAAAGUCUGACGGCGCAACGCCGCGUGAGUGAUGAAGGUUUUCGGAUCGUAAAGCUCUGUUGUUAGGGAAGAACGAGUGCCGUUUGAAUAAGGCGGCACCUUGACGGUACCUAACCAGAAAGCCACGGCUAACUACGUGCCAGCCGCCGCGGUAACAC